rnacentral:piRNA from 1 species
UUAUAAAUACCUCCAAAGUGCCACCUG